ensembl:snRNA predicted gene, 22940
GCUUUUACCUGGCAGGGGAAAUUUCAUGAUGAGGGCAGAUUUCUCUUAGUGAGGUUUAACCACUGUGUCUGGAUGUCCUAACCCCUGUUAUUUCCCCAAAUGUUGGAAUCUGGACAGAAUUAUUUGUGUAGUGGGAAAGAGGACAAUGUUCAUA